CCAGCACCCGCGGUAAUUCCAGCUCCAAUAGCGUAUAUUAAAGUUGUUGCAGUUAAAAAGCUCGUAGUUGGAUUUCUGGCAGGAGCGUCCGGUCUCACACUCAGUGCGGGAACUUGGAUGUCUCUGGCCAUCUUUGGGGAUAUCCUGUUUGGCAUUAAGUUGUCGGGCAGGGGAUACCCAUCGUUUACUGUGAAAAAAUUAGAGUGUUUCAGGCAGGCUAGGCCGGAAUACAUUAGCAUGGAAUAAUGGAAUAGGACUACGGUCUCUUUGUUGGUUUGAGGGACUGCAGUAAUGAUUAAUAGGGAUAGUUGGGGGCAUUAGUACUUAACUGUCAGAGGUGGAAUUCUCAGAUUUGUUAAAGACUGACUUAUGCGAAAGCAUUUGCCAAGGAUGUUUUCAUUAAUCAAGAACGAAAGU
rnacentral:rRNA from 1 species